UACGGGGGGGGGCAAGCGUUGUUCGGAAUUACUGGGCGUAAAGGGCUCGUAGGCGGCCAACUAAGUCAGACGUGAAAUCCCUCGGCUUAACCGGGGGAACUGCGUCUGAUACUGGAUGGCUUGAAUCCGGGGAGAGGGAUGCGGAAUUCCAGGUGUAGCGGUGAAAUGCGUAGAUAUCUGGAGGAACACCGGUGGCGAAGGCGGGUCUCUGGGCCGGUAACUGACGCUGAGGAGCGAAAGCGUGGGGAGCGAACAGG
rnacentral:rRNA from 1 species